rnacentral:rRNA from 1 species
AUGCAGUUUCUUAUGUCUUAUCUUGGCUCUUUCUGCUACUUUCUUGGGAUUGAGGUCCCUUCUUGCUCAAAAAUAAUAAUCCAGGAUCUUACUCGUGCUACUCUUACCGAUGAGCGCACUGAUGUUGAUUCAUUGUCUAAUCUAACACUUUGUCGACAUUUUGUUGGGAGUCUUUUCUAUCUGCCUGACACUCGCCCGGAAGAAGAAACAGACUGCAGUGCCCCCCCCCCCGUUCGAGUGCACCUCUUCCCGCGGCGCCGUCGCUCCACUUUCCUACUGUACCCUCCACUAUAUGUGCUACUGAUGUUGAUCCAUUGUCUAAUAUGA